CCUUUAUUUGGUUAUUCAAGUUUGUCUCUACUGCUGUCUAGAGGUUUUGAAUUCUUGCUUGUCGCCGGCGAUUUUUCCGGCAACCCCUGCUCUUUUCUUUCUAUUCUCUCUUCUGGUGUGUGUGGGUGUGUUCUGUUUUCUUGGAUAGGUGCCUUAUUUUCCCGGCGAGGAUUUCCGACAAGCUACAGUACUUCCGGUGACUCCCGUUCAGACUUUCGGUAGGACGCAAUAGAACUACACGUUCCGCUAAGCUUCAGGAAAACUUGGGCGCAUCAAAGCCUACUUUCAGUUCAAGUUUGUCUCAACUGCUGUUUAGAGGUAUUUGAAUUCUUGCUUUUCACCGGCGAUUUUUCCGGCAACCCCAGCUCUUUUCUUUCUAUUCUCUCUUCUGCUUUUGUGGCUGUGUGUGGGUGUGUUCUGUUUUCUUGGACAGGUACCUUAUUUUUCCGGCGAAGAUUUCCGGCAAGCUACAGUACUUCCGGCGACUCCCGUUCAGACUUUCGGCAGGACGCAAUAAAACUACACGUUCCGAUAAGCUUCAGGAAAACUUGGGCGCAUCAAAGCCUACUUUCAGGUUUUUCCACCGGGAGUUGGUACCUCCCGCUCUCUUGUUUACUUUGUAN
rnacentral:lncRNA from 1 species